rnacentral:tRNA from 1 species
GGAGGGGUACCCAAGCGGUCAACGGGGACAGACUGUAAAUCUGUUGGCGCUGCCUUCGCAGGUUCGAAUCCUGCCCCCUCCACCA